ACACUGAGGCGUGAUGACGAGGCACUACGGUGCUGAAGCAACAAAUGCCCUGCUUCCAGGAAAAGCCUCUAAGCAUCAGGUAACAUCAAAUCGUACCCCAAACCGACACAGGUGGUCAGGUAGAGAAUACCAAGGCGCUUGAGAGAACUCGGGUGAAGGAACUAGGCAAAAUGGUGCCGUAACUUCGGGAGAAGGCACGCUGACACGUAGGUGAAGUGAUUUACUCAUGGAGCUGAAGUCAGUCGAAGAUACCAGCUGGCUGCAACUGUUUAUUAAAAACACAGCACUGUGCAAACACGAAAGUGGACGUAUACGGUGUGACGCCUGCCCGGUGCCGGAAGGUUAAUUGAUGGGGUCAGCGCAAGCGAAGCUCCUGAUCGAAGCCCCGGUAAACGGCGGCCGUAACUAUAACGGUCCUAAGGUAGCGAAAUUCCUUGUCGGGUAAGUUCCGACCUGCACGAAUGGCGUAAUGAUGGCCAGGCUGUCUCCACCCGAGACUCAGUGAAAUUGAACUCGCUGUGAAGAUGCAGUGUACCCGCGGCAAGACGGAAAGACCCCGUGAACCUUUACUAUAGCUUGACACUGAACAUUGAGCCUUGAUGUGUAGGAUAGGUGGGAGGCUUUGAAGCGUGGACGCCAGUCUGCGUGGAGCCGACCUUGAAAUACCACCCUUUAAUGUUUGAUGUUCUAACGUGGACCCGUAAUCCGGGUUGCGGACAGUGUCUGGUGGGUAGUUUGACUGGGGCGGUCUCCUCCUAAAGAGUAACGGAGGAGCACGAAGGUUGGCUAAUCCUGGUCGGACAUCAGGAGGUUAGUGCAAUGGCAUAAGCCAGCUUGACUGCGAGCGUGACGGCGCGAGCAGGUGCGAAAGCAGGUCAUAGUGAUCCGGUGGUUCUGAAUGGAAGGGCCAUCGCUCAACGGAUAAAAGGUACUCCGGGGAUAACAGGCUGAUACCGCCCAAGAGUUCAUAUCGACGGCGGUGUUUGGCACCUCGAUGUCGGCUCAUCACAUCCUGGGGCUGAAGUAGGUCCCAAGGGUAUGGCUGUUCGCCAUUUAAAGUGGUACGCGAGCUGGGUUUAGAACGUCGUGAGACAGUUCGGUCCCUAUCUGCCGUGGGCGCUGGAGAACUGAGGGGGGCUGCUCCUAGUACGAGAGGACCGGAGUGGACGCAUCACUGGUGUUCGGGUUGUCAUGCCAAUGGCACUGCCCGGUAGCUAAAUGCGGAAGAGAUAAGUGCUGAAAGCAUCUAAGCACGAAACUUGCCCCGAGAUGAGUUCUCCCUGAGACUUAGAGUCUCCUGAAGGAACGUUGAAGACGACGACGUUGAUAGGCCGGGUGUGUAAGCGCAGCGAUGCGUUGAGCUAACCGGUACUAAUGAACCGUGAGGCUUAACCUUACAACGCCGAAG
rnacentral:rRNA from 1 species